GGGCCGUCGUCCAGCCUGGACUAGGAUGCCGGCUUGUGGCGCUGGUGGUCCGGGGUUCAAAUCCCCGCGGCCCCA
rnacentral:tRNA from 1 species